rnacentral:rRNA from 1 species
ACUCAAAGGAAUUGACGGGGACCCGCACAAGCGGUGGAUCAUGUGGUUUAAUUCGAAGCAACGCGAAAAACCUUACCAAGACUUGACAUUUUAGUUACGGGAAUUCUAGAAAUAGUUUUCUUAUACGAAAAACAGGUGCUGCAUGGUUGUCGUCAGCUCGUGUCGUGAGAUGUUGGGUUAAGUCCCGCAACGAGCGCAACCCUCGUUCUUAGUUGCUAUAACUUUGUUAUAGUUCUUUAAGAAGACUGCCAGCGAUAAGUUGGAGGAAGGUGGGGAUGACGUCAAACCCUCAUGGCCCUUAUGUCUUGGGCUACACACGUGAUACAAUGGUUGGUACAAAGAGCUGCUAAGUCGCAAGACCAAGCGAAUCUCAAAAAGCCAAUCUCAGUUCGGAUUGGAGUCUGCAACUCGACUCCAUGAAGCUGGAAUCGCUAGUAAUCGCAAAUCAGCAUGUUGCGGUGAAUACGUUCCCGGGUCUUGUACACACCGCCCGU